UACAGAGGUGGCAAGCGUUGUUCGGAAUUACUGGGCGUAAAGGGCGAGUAGGCGGCCUUCUAAGUCAGACGUGAAAUCCCCCGGCUUAACCUGGGAACUGCGUCUGAUACUGGGAGGCUUGAGUAUGGGAGAGGGAUGUAGAAUUCCAGGUGUAGCGGUGAAAUGCGUAGAUAUCUGGAGGAAUACCGGUGGCGAAGGCGGCAUCCUGGACCAUUACUGACGCUGAGGAGCGAAAGCCAGGGGAGCAAACGGG
rnacentral:rRNA from 1 species